AGCGAACGCUGGCGGCAGGCUUAACACAUGCAAGUCGAGCGGGCACUUUCGGGUGUCAGCGGCGGACGGGUGAGUAACGCGUGGGAACGUGCCCUCUGGUUCGGAAUAACUCAGGGAAACUUGAGCUAAUACCGGAUACGCCCUUUUGGGGAAAGGCUUGCUGCCGGAGGACCGGCCCGCGUCUGAUUAGCUAGUUGGUGAGGUAACGGCUCACCAAGGCGACGAUCAGUAGCUGGUCUGAGAGGAUGAUCAGCCACACUGGGACUGAGACACGGCCCAGACUCCUACGGGAGGCAGCAGUGGGGAAUAUUGGAAAAUGGGCGCAAGCCUGAUCCAGCCAUGCCGCGUGAGUGAUGAAGGCCUUAGGGUUGUAAAGCUCUUUUAUCCGGGACGAUAAUGACGGUACCGGAGGAAUAAGCCCCGGCUAACUUCGUG
rnacentral:rRNA from 1 species